ACUGGAAACGGUGGCUAAUACCGGAUGUGCCCUUCGGGGUGAAAGGUUAACUGCCUGUUGAUGAGCUCGCGUCUGAUUAGCUAGUUGGUGUGGUAAGAGCGCACCAAGGCGACGAUCAGUAGCUGGUCUGAGAGGACGAUCAGCCACACUGGGACUGAGACACGGCCCAGACUCCUACGGGAGGCAGCAGUGGGGAAUUUUCCGCAAUGGGCGAAAGCCUGACGGAGCAAUACCGCGUGAGGGAGGAAGGCUCUUGGGUCGUAAACCUCUUUUCUCAGGGAAGAACACAAUGACGGUACCUGAGGAAUAAGCAUCGGCUAACUCCGUGCCAGCAGCCGCGGUAAUACGGAGGAUGCAAGCGUUAUCCGGAAUGAUUGGGCGUAAAGCGUCCGCAGGUGGCAAUGUAAGUCUGCUGUUAAAGAGUCUAGCUCAACUAGAUAAGAGCAGUGGAAACUACAUCGCUAGAGUGCGUUCGGGGCAGAGGGAAUUCCUGGUGUAGCGGUGAAAUGCGUAGAGAUCAGGAAGAACACCGGUGGCGAAGGCGCUCUGCUAGGCCGCAACUGACAC
rnacentral:rRNA from 1 species